AUUGAACGCUGGCGGCAUGCCUUACACAUGCAAGUCGAACGGCAGCACGGACUUCGGUCUGGUGGCGAGUGGCGAACGGGUGAGUAAUGUAUCGGAACGUACCUUUCAGUGGGGGAUAACGUAGCGAAAGUUACGCUAAUACCGCAUAUUCUGUGAGCAGGAAAGCAGGGGAUCGCAAGACCUUGCGCUGAUUGAGCGGCCGAUAUCAGAUUAGCUAGUUGGUGAGGUAAAGGCUCACCAAGGCGACGAUCUGUAGCGGGUCUGAGAGGAUGAUCCGCCACACUGGAACUGAGACACGGUCCAGACUCCUACGGGAGGCAGCAGUGGGGAAUUUUGGACAAUGGGGGCAACCCUGAUCCAGCCAUGCCGCGUGAGUGAAGAAGGCCUUCGGGUUGUAAAGCUCUUUCGGCCGGGAAGAAAUCGCAUGGGUUAAUACCCUGUGCGGAUGACGGUACCGGCAUAAGAAGCACCGGCUAACUACGUGCCAGCAGCCGCGGUAAUACGUAGGGUGCGAGCGUUAAUCGGAAUUACUGGGCGUAAAGCGUGCGCAGGCGGUUUUUUAAGACAGGCGUGAAAUCCCCGGGCUCAACCUGGGAACUGCGCUUGUGACUGGAAGGCUAGAGUAUGGCAGAGGGGGGUGGAAUUCCACGUGUAGCAGUGAAAUGCGUAGAGAUGUGGAGGAACACCAAUGGCGAAGGCAGCCCCCUGGGCCAAUACUGACGCUCAUGCACGAAAGCGUGGGUAGCAAACAGGAUUAGAUACCCUGGUAGUCCACGCCCUAAACGAUGUCAACUAGGUGUUGGGUGG
rnacentral:rRNA from 1 species